rnacentral:rRNA from 1 species
AUUGAACGCUGGCGGCAUGCCUUACACAUGCAAGUCGAACGGCAGCACGGGAGCAAUCCUGGUGGCGAGUGGCGAACGGGUGAGUAAUAUAUCGGAACGUGCCCAGUCGUGGGGGAUAACGCAGCGAAAGCUGUGCUAAUACCGCAUACGAUCUAAGGAUGAAAGCGGGGGAUCGCAAGACCUCGCGCGAUUGGAGCGGCCGAUAUCAGAUUAGCUAGUUGGUGGGGUAAAGGCCCACCAAGGCGACGAUCUGUAGCUGGUCUGAGGGGACGACCAGGCACACUGGAACUGAGACACGGUCCAGACUCCUACGGGAGGCAGCAGUGGGGAAUUUUGGACAAUGGGCGCAAGCCUGAUCCAGCAAUGCCGCGUGCAGGAUGAAGGCCUUCGGGUUGUAAACUGCUUUUGUACGGAACGAAACGGCCCUUUCUAAUACAAGGGGCUAAUGACGGUACCGUAAGAAUAAGCACCGGCUAACUACGUGCCAGCCGCCGCAGUAACAC